AACGAACGCUGGCGGCAUGCCUAACACAUGCAAGUCGAACGAGACCUUCGGGUCUAGUGGCGCACGGGUGCGUAACGCGUGGGAACCUGCCCUUAGGUUCGGAAUAACUCCCCGAAAGGGGUGCUAAUACCGGAUAAUGUCUUCGGACCAAAGAUUUAUCGCCUUUGGAUGGGCCCGCGUUGGCUUAGCUAGUUGGUAGGGUAAAAGCCUACCAAGGCGACGAUCCAUAGCUGGUCUGAGAGGAUGAUCAGCUACACUGGGACUGAGACACGGCCCAGACUCCUACGGGAGGCAGCAGUGGGGAAUAUUGGACAAUGGGCGAAAGCCUGAUCCAGCAAUGCCGCGUGAGUGAUGAAGGCCUUAGGGUUGUAAAGCCCUUUUACCCGGGAUGAUAAUGACAGUACCGGGAGAAUAAGCUCCGGCUAACUCCGUG
rnacentral:rRNA from 1 species